rnacentral:piRNA from 1 species
UCCCCAGGAAUGUGGAUCAAUUAUGGGC